rnacentral:lncRNA from 1 species
AUUUUCUAAACUCAGUCUUACGAAUCGCAUAGGACUUCUUCUUUUCUAUCAAGAUCGAUAGAUUCUAUCCAGAUGUAUCCUACUCCAAACAGCAAACCUGAACCUACAUAGCCAACAUACAUGGUAAGGACCCAUAUGGCUAGGGACCAAGAAAACAUACAGUCAAACUAUAUAGGCUCGCUGCGAAUAGCCAACACACCGC